CUGGAUUCUAAUCUUCUGGGAUUCCAAGUUCUUCUGCAUGAGCUUAAUGACAAUGAGAUUGCUUGUGACUUCACUCCUCGCCUUGACCACACAGAUGGAAGGUUUUGGCUGUGUUAGGUCAAUGCAUGGGGAAAGGUGUCAGCUUCCCCACCGUGCAGUCAGUGUUGUGCAAAAGCAGAGGCAGGAUCUGAGGGCAAGACAAACUGGGGGCUCCUGCUUGAUUGUCUCACCUGCCCCUCUUUGGCAGCGGGUUGUGUCCCUGGCCUUUUAGACCUAAGCAGAGAGGGAAUUUCAAGUCAGGUGGCGCCUGUACAGUCUAUGGAAUAGGUAGUUAAUGAGGUCUGGAGUUGAUGUUGCCUUCCUCUCCUUCUCUGAUCACUUUCAUGUCACUCACCCAUCCCAGAUGCCAUGGUGUUCUCAAUGCCCCAGUUCUGGGGUUUCCUGCCCCACUCCACCUUUCCUUUCCUGAUCCUCAAGAAAACUGACUUCUUUUCCUAAGCCCCCCGUCUCCACUUUGUGAGGGGCAUUCUGAGCAUGGAGGCUAAUCAAUAUGUUCUCAGUAUCCAAUGGAAGCCUAACGUGCCACCUCUUCCAAGGGCAGUGCAUUUUAACUCAGACCCAACGCCCCAACCAAAUGAAAGAUCUCUAAUCUGGAAUUUUCAACAAUGGGGCUGGUGGGUCAGGGUGCACCAGAUCUCAGGAGGUUUAUCCAGAAGACUUUCAAGUGCCCCAAGAGGCUGAGUGGUCCGCCAAGUGCCUGCAUGUGUGCAGUCAGGAAGCUUGAGUCUGGGUUCUGCCUGGGGCAAGUCACUACAACUCCCAGAGCCUCAUUUCUGCUAUUCGUAAAAUGGAGAAGACACCUCCUAUGAUAUCAAGUCACUGACUUGUUCCCAGGUGCUAAAAAAUGAAAUUACAUUGCUUAGCCUUGAAACUGUGCAACCUUUCAACUGCUGAUGAAAACAACCUCAGCAAGAUGAAAAUUUCUCCAUUUUCCUGAAACUAUUCUGCAUCAUAAAAUUCAUUGCAGGUGGUACCUUUAAAAAUAAAAGACUUGUAAAAAAUGUUUUUGCAAUUCUUAAUGGUUGUCUUACUUAAUAAUUAGUUGUCCUGGUAAGGGAAUAAUGUUUAAGUCGAUAUCUCAGUUUUCUGAAUGGUGUCCGUGUUGUAAGUUUUCAUUGAUACUUUCUUCUUCCACACGAAUGGA
rnacentral:lncRNA from 10 species